rnacentral:snRNA from 1 species
AGCUUUGCGCAGUGGCAGUAUCGUAGCCAAUGAGGUUUAUCCGAGGCGCGAUUAUUGCUAAUUGAAAAAGUGAUUAUAACAUCAAUUUAAAUAGCAUUCUAAGGUUCUAAAUGCACCAAGUUCAUCAUUUAGGAUUGAGAUAAUACUUAUUGGAAUAAUUGUGAUAUU